UGGGGGAUAUUGCACAAUGGGCGAAAGCCUGAUGCAGCGACGCCGCGUGGGGGAUGAAGGCCUUCGGGUUGUAAACUUCUUUUGCUCUGAACAAGGCGCACCAUGGGGUGUGUUGAGUGUAGGGGUUGAUUAGCGCCGGCUAACUACGUGCCAGCAGCCGCGGUAAUACGUAGGGCGCGAGCGUUGUCCGGAAUUAUUGGGCGUAAAGGGCUUGUAGGUGGCUGGUUGCGACUGUCGUGAAAGCUCAUGGCUUAACUGUGGGUUUGCGUUGGGUACGGACUGGCUUGAGUGCAGUAGGGGAGGCUGGAAUUCCUGGUGUAGCGGUGGAAUGCGCAGAUAUCAGGAGGAAUGCCGGUGGCGAAGGCGGGUCUCUGGGCUGUUACUGACACUGAGGAGCGAAAGCAUGGGGAGCGAACAGG
rnacentral:rRNA from 1 species